CCGGGUUUGGAUUGCUCCCGGAGUUGGAAGUUAGGGCGCCCUGGGGCUAGCCUUUCUCCCAGCGCGCGGAUCUCUGCCGCUAAUCUCCUGGGGAGGCUGUGCUCUCAGCUUAAGCUCUCAGAAAAAAUAAGAGACAAGGUCUGACUCUGUGCAGUGGAGUGCAGUGGCUCAAUCAUAGCUCACUCCAGCCUCAGACUCCUGGGCCGAAGUGAUCCUCCCACCUCAAGCUCCUGAAUAGCUGGGACUACAGGCAACAAGCUCUGCCAAUUUUUUCUUCGAAGAGUUUUGUUCCAAGCUGGGAGCCGUGGCUCAUGCCUGUCAUCCCAGCACUUUGGGAGGCCAAGCUGGGCAUGGUGGCAUGUGCCUGUGGUUCCAGUUACUUGGGAAGCUGAAGUGGGAGGAUCGCUUGAGCCCAGGAGGUCAAGGCUACAGUGAGCUGUGAUGGUGUCAUUGCAUUCCAGCACUCCAGCCCGGGCAUCAGAGUUAGACCUUGUCUUAAAAAAUAAAUAAAUGAAUAAAUAUAAAUAAAAAAUAAAAAGCUUUUACAGUAGUAUUCCCUUCAUUCUGCCCACCACCCCCAUCUCCACUGGCACAACCAACCAUCCCAGCAUACCAAAGAGCACACCACUCUUCAGGACUAAGGUGCUCAUUUCCUCAGCUGCUGGGCGCAUUACUUGUCAACACCUAUCAGCUAAAUCCCUUUCCAGGAGUUGCCUUCAGCUGAAGAAAGCUGCCUCUCACCAGGUCCGUCUGCACUGACUGGCAGAUGCAGGGCUCAGGGUGGGGCUGCUCUGAAGGGCUCUCCUGGCACCAGAGCUCCCUUAGGAUCCGGAAGCUGAGGCAUUUGCUGUAACUACAUUUAGUUCAACUUUUUCUGCUCAAUCCUACUCCUUUCCUGCACGGUGUUGAUUCCAAGGGCAAUUAAAUCCAUGAGUGUGGCCGGACACCAUGGCUCAGACCUGUAAUCCCAGCACUUUAGGAGCUGAGGCAGGUGGAUCGCGUGAGCCCAAGAGUUCAAGACCAGCCUGACCAACAUGGUAAAAUCGUAUCUUUACAAAAAAUAAAAAAAUUUGCUGGACAUGGCGGUGAGCAGCUGUCAUCUCAGCUACUCAGGAGGCUGAAGCUGGAGGAUUGCUUGAUCCCAGGAGGUAGAGGCUGCAGUGAGCCAUGUUUGUACCACUGCACUCCAGGCUGGGUGACAGAGCAAGACCCUGUCUCAAAACAAACGGACAAAAACGUCCCAUGAAUGUGGUUUGAUCCAGUGGAGCUGAAUCAUUCCCCUGGCCAGUUAGCAGUAAGGUCCACAGGGGAAGCCCUGACAGGCCCCGGCGUGCCAUAGCAGUACGAUGUUAAAACUUUCAGCAAUGGUGAAGAGCUGGAAUGGGUG
rnacentral:lncRNA from 1 species